rnacentral:rRNA from 1 species
GACGAACGCUGGCGGCGUGCCUAAUACAUGCAAGUAGAACGCUGAAGGAGGAGCUUGCUUCUCUGGAUGAGUUGCGAACGGGUGAGUAACGCGUAGGUAACCUGCCUUGUAGCGGGGGAUAACUAUUGGAAACGAUAGCUAAUACCGCAUAAUAGCAGUUGUUGCAUGACAACUGUUUGAAAGGUGCAAUUUCACCACUACCAGAUGGACCUGCGUUGUAUUAGCUAGUUGGUGGGGUAACGGCUCACCAAGGCGACGAUACAUAUCCGACCUGAGAGGGGGAUCGGCCAAAAUGGGAAUGAGACAAGGCCCAGACUCCUACGGGAGGCAGCAGUAGGGAAUCUUCGGCAAUGGACGGAAGUCUGACCGAGAAACGCCGCGUGAGUGAAGAAGGUUUUCGGAUCGUAAAGCUCUGUUGUAAGAGAAGAACGAGUGUGAGAGUGGAAAGUUCACACUGUGACGGUAUCUUACCAGAAAGGGACGGCUAACUACGUG